UACGUAGGUGACAAGCGUUGUCCGGAUUUACUGGGCGUAAAGAGCGCGCAGGCGGUCGUUCAAGUCGAGUGUGAAAGCCCCCGGCUCAACUGGGGAGGGUCAUUCGAUACUGAUCGACUCGAAGGCAGGAGAGGGAAGUGGAAUUCCCGGUGUAGUGGUGAAAUGCGUAGAUAUCGGGAGGAACACCAGUGGCGAAGGCGACUUCCUGGCCUGUUCUUGACGCUGAGGCGCGAAAGCUAGGGUAGCAAACGGGGAUUAA
rnacentral:rRNA from 1 species